rnacentral:rRNA from 1 species
UACGGAGGGUGCAAGCGUUGCUCGGAAUUAUUGGGCGUAAAGGGUAAGUAGGUGGUCUUAUUUGUCUAAGGUGAAAGCCUUGAGCUUAACUCAAGAAGUGCCCUAGAAACGGUAAGACUCGAGUCCUGGAGAGGGUCGUGGAAUUCCCGGUGUAGCGGUGAAAUGCGUAGAGAUCGGGAGGAACACCAGAGGCGAAAGCGGCGACCUGGACAGGUACUGACACUCAACUACGAAAGCGUGGGGAGCAAACAGG